UUUAAUAAGAAUAUUUCUUUCAUUCAGAUCUAGGAUGUGUUAUUUUAGUGUUCCCUUUAUUUUUUUGAGCAGUGUAUAUUGGCAGUAGUCUGAACAGGCUGACAUGGCAUUGCACUGAACUUCCCUUUCCUGAAAUCCACUGGUUCUUUGCUAUCCCUACCCGCCCUGAAAUUUCAAACCUUAUCGCAUUAUGCAGCAGAGCUAUGUUCAUUCUGCUCCAGUCUAGACCGGUGUCCAGAUAAGGAUAUCAUGAGCCAUUACACUGUAAUAGGAGGCUGAGAUCCUUCAUCAUACAAUUACCAUGAACCGGUGAUAUGCCAAAUCCGCUAUUGUUUCUUCUUUAAAGAAAAUUGCCUAUCUUCCACACUGUGGGGUGUGAAAGCAGGAUGUGCAGAGAUGUUAAAAAUACAAAGCAUUGAGACUUGUUAAGCAAACCUUAUUGGUACCAACUUCCAGGGCAUGUUCCAUAUUGUCUGAGAGCCUUACACAAUAGUAGGCUGAUACAGAACAAGUUAAAAGGUAAUUGCCUGUCCUCCGCCUUUUACUCAUUUUGAAUGUAAAGGAAUGCAGUCCAGCGUCUGAAUCUACUAACUUUGAAUGUUAAAUCUGCAGGAGUAUUCAUAAAUAUUAUCCUCUAAAGUGCUUUAACCUAUUUCAUCAACAGAAAAAGCUAAACUCAUCGUAGUCUCUUGUUCGACGCUGUUUAAGUAGGGAUGGGCAGUUAUUCGCAUACCCAAACGGACGUUAGUAUUUGAUUUACUUGCGAGACUAAUUUGAGUACAUAAAUGCCUAUUUUAAUUAAAAGGCUUUGUCUAAAAUUGUAUUAAAUUCUGUGACAUUGCUACAUACAAUGAAAGACUAUGCAUUUCUAAAUAGCUUGUUAUUGUCACUAGAGGUCGACCGAUUAUGAUUUUUCAACGUCGAUACCGAAUUAUUGGAGGAACCAAAAAAAGCCGGUUCCGAUUAAUCGGCCGUUUUAUAAAUAUAACUUUAUUUUUUUCCCUUCUUUUCAUGACAAUUACAACAAUACUGAAUGAACACUUAUUUUAAUACAUUAAUAAAAUCAACUUAGUCUCAAAUAAUAAAUCAUGUUCAAUUUGGUUUAAAUAAGGCAAAAACAAUGUUGGAGAAGAAAGUAAAUGUACAAUGUGCCAGCAAACGUUUAAGUUCCUUGCUCAGAACAUGAGAACAUAUGAAAGCUGAUGGUUCCUUUUUAACAUGAGUCUUCAAUAUUUCCAGUUAAGUUUUAGGUUGUAGUUAUUAUAGGACUAUUUAUAUAUACCAUUUUGUAUUUCAUAUACCUUUGACUACUGGAUAUUCUUAUAGGCACUAUAGUAUUGCCAGCCUAAUCUCGGGAGUUGAUAGGCUUGAAGUCAUAAUCAGAGUUGCACUUCAAGCAUUGCGAAUAGAUGCUGGGAAACGCAGGAAAGUGCUGUUUGAAUGAAUGCUUACGAGCCUGCUGCUGCCUACCACCGCUCAGACUGCUAUAUCAAAUCAUAGACUUAAUUAUAAUAUAAUAAACACACAUACGAGCCUUAGGUCAUUAAUAUGGUCAAAUCCGGAAACUCAUCUAGAAAACAAAACGUUUAUUUUUUUCAGUGAAAUACGGAUACGUUCUGUAUUUUAUCGACCGGGUGGCAUCCAGAAGUCUAAAUAUUGCUGUUACAUUGCACAACCUUCAAUGUUAUGUCAUAAUUAUGUAAAAUUCUGGUAAAUUAGUUAUGGUCUUUUGUUAGGAAGAAAUGGUCUUCAGACAGUUCAACGAGCCAGGCAGCCCAAACUGCUGCAUAUACCCUGACUCUGCUUACACUGAACACAAGAGAAGUGACACAAUUUCCCUAGUUAAUAUUGCCUGCUAACAUGAGUCUUUUACAAAUAUGCAGGUUUAAAAAUAUAUACUUGUGUAUUGAUUUUAAGAAAGGCAUUUAUGCUUAGGUACAUUGGUGCAAUGAUUGCACUUUUUUCACGAAUGCGCUUUUGUUAAAUCAUCAUCUGUUUGGUGAAGAUGGAAGUAGGCUGUGAUUCGAUGAUAAAAUUAACAGGCACCACAUUGAUUAUUUGCAACACAGGACAAGCUAGUUAAACUAGUAAUAUAAUCAACCAUCUUUAGUUAACUAGUGAUUAUGUUAAGAUUGUUUUUUAUAAGUAUAAUGCUAGCUAGCAACUUACCUUUGCUCCUUGCUGCACUCUCAUAACAGGUGGUCAGCCUGCCACGCAGUCUCCUCGUAAUCGGCGUCCAAAAAUGCUGAUUUCCGAUUUAAGAGAACUUGAAAUCAGCCCUAAUUAAUCUGCCAAGCCGAUUUAAAUCGGUCGACAUCUAAUUGUCACUUGGUCAAAGCAGCUCUGUCAGAGGCUCCAUUUUGAGCAUGCGACGUGGGAGAUUUGUAAGCAAUGCAACAUUUUAUUAUAAUUACAGAAUUAAGUUGGCAAAAAUGAGUAUGCUAGGGUGAUUCUCACAAUCUUAGUUUCAAAGAUUUCAAACAUGAAAUCUUUAAAGACAUGCAUCAACAAAUGUCCUUUUUAGGCAUUAAUAUCAAGGUCUGAAGUGUUUGAGCAUACAUUUUUAAAACAUUUACUGACAAUUUAACACCUUUUUUGAACAUAUUUUCCAAAACAAGUCCUUAAUCUCAUUACAUGAAUGGUCUGAAAACGUCAAGACCAUUAGGAAAGCUAAUACAUUUUCACAUAAAAAUAAAAACAGAUUUGUUACUUGAAACUCUGAAAUAAUAUAUAUUUUUUAAUUAAAAUGUUUAUUUGAUUUUAACUGACUUCUCUCAUUACCGCAACACCUUCCUCAAUCUUCAACCUAAAAUUUUUGACAUUUCAUUGACACCUGACAUAUUUUUAAAAUGUGGCAAGCCUGAAAGAACGUAACGUAUAGAUUCUGCAUAUGCAUUUAAAAGCAAACUUUUCCAUUCAUUAAAUUAACAUUAAAUGGACACAGGUUCGGAAAUGAGGUUGAUUUUGGUAAUGAUACUAAGACUGUGGUAUAGUUAAAAACAUGACAUUUUUAGAAAAUUAGAUCAUAUUGGCACAACCAUGGAUUUAAGUUCAAUCAAUUUCAUUUUGCAGUGCUUCAAAAGUACAUAACAGGCUAAAAACAAAACACAUAAACACAUACAAAAACAUUAGAGCACAUAUCACUACACACACUGGCCUGUACAGUGUCCCUUGGGAUGACGUUUCUAUGACCCCAAGCUCUGGUGCAGCUUCUUUAUCUUUAAGCCAAAAUUUUCAUGCGUUUUGCAAGCACAUGUUUCUGUCUGACUCUUUGCUGGCCAAUCCAAAGUGGCUUAAGUUAACAAGUUCUCAUUUACAACUGCAACCUGGCCAAGAUAAAGCAACGCAAUGCGACAAAAACAAGAGUUACACAAACAAACGUACAGUCAAUAACACAAUAGAAAAAUCUAUGUACAGUGUGUGCAAAUGUAGAAGAUUAGGGAGGUAAGGCAAUAAAUAGGCCAUAGAGGUGAAAUAAUUACAAUUUACCAUUUACACUGGAGUGAUAGAUGUGCAGAUGAUGAUGUGCAAGUAGAGCCUUGGAAAGGUUGUGCCUUGGAUUCUCAGACUUCUAUGAAGAUUUGCCAUAGUGUCUGUCAGGGCUCUCUUACGGAAUAUCUGGCUCUUUUCCGAAUUUCUCCGGAUUCCCGUUUAUUACAGUGGAGACUUCAUCUUGAUGAAGGAAAUGGCUAAUGAGUUUGCGCAUUAGUCUUCUCUGGCUGUUAUUGAAUAAUGUUCUCUGAUGACCUCUCUUUGUAGUUUUCUUCUGGACCUAUCUGCCUUCCAUGUUGUCAAUGACCUGCUUCCUCUUGGCCAUCAUCUCAAUUAUUUUCUUUAGGUUGACAAUCUCUUUGGUCUUCUCCAGCAGCUUUUCUGUGUAGCGCAACUUUGACCUCAAUUUGGAAUGUUUUCUUUCUUCGGUUCUUCUUUCUGGGUGAGUUUCUUGGUGCUUGUGUCUCUUCUUUUAGGAGUUGAGUUGAUGGCAGGGACAUUUACCUGCUGAGGUGAGAAUGGCAGUUCUCUUGAGGAGGCUGUCUUCUUGAAGACUUUGAAUAACUUAAUUUUGCCUCUUGAACAUGUUGAAGUGUAUUGUCUUCUUCGCUUCAUGGUAUUAUGUCCAUCACAGCUUUUAGAUGUUUAUUUUUUCUGUAAUACCUCUUGAGUUUUCCCGCCACUGUGCUUCGUUUGUUGCUGCUUUGUCAGAUCUGGAGUUUUCUUGAUUUUACAAUUUUGCUUUUGUUUUUGCUAUCUAGAAAUGGAAAGGAAGCAUGAAAGGAGCAUGUCUCAAAACAUGGGGGAAAUCGUACUGUUAUGGACACGUCAUCUUAUAGUAAAGACUGAAUGGCUUACUGACGUGUGUGUACAUCCUAUAGUAGUGACUGAAUGGCUUACAGACUGUGUGGACAUCCAUAGUAUCUAAAUGGCUUACUAAUUCUGUGUGUGGUGGAUGUGUGCGCGUGCAUGUGUAGACUUCUAAACACUGUAGGGUAUUGACUUCUUAUAGACACUGUGAGGGCAUAGGCUUCCUGUAGACCUAUAUGCUAAUUACUCUUGCUGUAACUUCUCCAACCCCUAACCUCUCUUGUCUUCUUUCUGUACUCUUCCAGCAGUUCUGGGUUGGUGUAAGCUUUCUCUGAAUUUUGUCAGCCUACAGUAAAGCUUUCUUUUUGUCACUUGCUGAUUGUCUCCAAUUAAACAGGACAUAAAGAAAAAUCUCAACAGUUAGUAAAUAAUAUUUAAAUUAAUAGUUCAUUAUAUAUAUUAAAUAGUCAGUAUGAUUCAAUUCUCAUUACCGAAACAGAAGUUCUCUCUACCACAACUAGCCUUAAAUUGUAGUGGUAAGUGAGAAUGGUGUUGCGAAGGAUAAGGAACCGUAGCAUGUUUUGCUAACAAUGGAGAAGACAUGAUGACUAAGCACAUUUUUAUCACUCAAUGUACAUAAUUAGACAUUAAUGAAUUAUAUUUUCAUAGAUUUAAAAACGUAACGUUUUUCUAAAUGUGGGAAACUACCUGUAUCGGUAAUGACAAUCAAUACUGUCGUGUAUGCAGUCUGACGAGCUUGUUUAACUUUUAACUGGAGAAAUAUAAAGAUCUGCUUACCUGGUAGCCAUCUUGAAGGUACUGGCAGAUUUGUUGCUUCAUUCAAAAUCAAACGUUAUUUAAAAUUCUCUGUGUAAACAGUCCAAAUGUUGCGUAGGAUGAGAACAUCAGUCAUGGACACUUUUUCCACCAUUUUUUAAUUUUUAUACAUGAAUAUUCGGUUAAUAAUUUAUCAUUUGAAAACAUCUAUUAUAACAUCCAUUUAUUUUUUUCAGGAUAUUUUAAUUUUACUCUGUUUUAAAUUACAACAUAACAACAUACAUUCGGACAGAGCUGGACGCGUUGCGGUCAUUAGAAUUGCAGCAGAAAAGUCAGAUCCGUAACAUGCUGCUGUUUUCCAAUAAAUAUGCCAAUGUGAGGGAAACCUUAUGGCUUUAUUCUUGUGUGCGAACAGAUUUGAAUGACAUGAAAAUAACAGCCCUCCAUACUUUCUGUAGAUUUAUCCUUCUCCUAGAUAUCUGGAUAGCCAGUACACCGGUGUGCGCUGAAAUUGUUUGAUUGCUGAUAUUUAUAGGAAAAUAUUUUUAUUUUAUUUAAUACAUUACAAGCAUCGUUACAUGUACUGUAGUGAAAAUACACCCGCUAAAUCACUUAAUAUCUUACCGUUUAUUUUAUAAAACAGCAUUUUCCUUUACCCUCCAAGAUUGUGCAAUCCUCUCCCCAAGCUUCCUCUGCCUUUGCAGUUUCCUACAUUUACCAGAAAGCCUCGCAACAUUCAGCUCUCUCUCCCCUGGUUGCCACAGUCAGAAUUGGCUAUAUCGUAAACAUUCAUAAAACAAUUUGCUUUUUGGGCUUAAUUUAAGGUUAGCAAUGUCGUUAACACGGGUGUGUUCAUUAUACAGUGGUCCCUGCAGCAUACUCUCAAACUUGUGUGAUUAGAACGCUUAUUUAGAACAUUGUUUUGAAACGUAAUGUCCUAAAUGUGACCAGUUUAUUUUUGGAUGCAUGCAAUGUUCAGACAUCCUCAGAAGCGGUGUCCGCAUAACACAAUCAUCCAAACCGGAAAAUGUAUGCUACAUUAUUCUUAGCGUUAUCUGAGGAAAGAUUUACUUAACACAACGGUCAUAUUUGGGUAACUUUCGGCUGACAAACCAUAAUAUGAAUUGGCUAAUGGCAAUGACUAUUUACAAUGAAUCACAUCACGGGUGAGCUCAACAUUGAUCAAAAUCAUUUAAAAAAUCUAAAAUGUCACUUUUUUUUUCCUUCCCCGUGUCAACUUAAGAUAAGACAUGAGUUUUGUCUGUUUGCAGUAUUCAUGUUGAAGAGGGUGUGUCUACGAUCAUUCCUUUCCCUUCAUUCAAAGAUGAGUGAACCGUCCCUUCACAUGAAUUUGUUAUAAUAUCUUUGGUCUGAGAUGUUUACGUGACACCCAGAAUGCAUGGUAUAAUGUCAACAAACAAGGUGCCACACGUAGCUGGCGAACAGCUUUGGGUUAGUACAACUGUCAAAGUAUUUUACACACAUCCAUUACAAUCUAUGCAAGAAUUGGAACGCAUCAUUUUUCACCAGUACUUAAAACUAAAUAUAUUAUGCUCCAUAUAUGCAUACAUUUGGUUAUGCUACAGUAGAAACAACACGAUAUACAGAAAAUAAGGCAUGCACUUUGAUAUGCACCAUCAUUAGCUGAGAUAACAAGUGGGCUGGACAUGCUGAGUGAUGAGUGUGGAUUGGUCUGCAGUGUUGCAUCUUGUCUAUAUAAUGAGCUGCUCGUAAUGCAGUUUUCGAAAGAUAUAACUUUAACCACGGAGAAUUGCAAAUAUUUUGCUGCUGCUCUCAACAUUGCUGCCCUGAAUUUAUCAGAUGCUAUCGACAAAGGCCAGUGUGGAAAAAUGUCUGGAUGACGAUCGUGCCAUGCAAUGCUGUCUCUAAAAAUAACACAUUUUGAAAUCGGUGGAACACAACCGGCCAAACAAGCUGUGUAAACUAAACAGAAACACAGGGGUUGUAGUCUGCCAUGAAGAUUUCAUCCAUGUAUACAGGUAAGAAUCUAGCUACAGAUUCAGACAUUAUAUGUUUCUAAUUUUGUUAACAUUUUCAUUGCAGGCUUCAGCUUGCUGUUAGCUAGCCAGCUGGAGUUCGAUGGCUGGCUUGCUAACCAAAUAACGUUAGUUUCAUUGUUAACUUUAGCUUGCUAUGACAAUUUGUUUGUAUUGCUAGUAACGUUACUCAUUGGAUUGGGAUUAUAUUUCAUAUUUUAGCUAGUUAAUGUGACUAAACAAAAGAGUUAAAGCUUGCUGUUAGCUAGCUAAUGUCAGCUGAGGUUAAGUGGCUAGCUAACAUUAACGUGUGUGUGUAACGUUAGUGUAGUUCUCAGAAUGCCAUUCCGCAUUGCUAGUUAUAGCCUAAUGUUAGCUAGCUAACAUUGAACCUAUUGGGUUAACUUUAGCUAGCUAUGACAAUCUGUUUAUUGCUUGCCGUUAGCUAGCCAGCUGAUGUUAGAUGUCUGGCUAGUUACAGUAGCUAACAUUCCCUGUAUGAACUGUGUAGUGAUAUCUCAGAAUGCCAUUUCACAUCUAUAUAAUAAGGCUAAAAUAUUUAUCUGGAAUUUGUCUUUCAUCAUCAAUCAGUAGAAUACGCCUGACUCUAAUCCACCAGUCAUACAGUUACCAAAACUCACCAAGUUUUCCCCCCGACUGGUGCUUCGGCCUUAUCAAGCGGCGCUUCAGAAAGACCAGAGUGAACACUGUCUGAUAUUUCUAGUGUUGUGAAGGACAGCACUGUGACGGGUCAACAUCUCACAGCUGGUUGGACUGGAGGAUGGUACGGUGCUGGUGGAAAGCUAUGGCUGGCAACAACACCUGGCUCCGUACUUCAGGCUGCUGCCACAGAGCAAGCAGUUCCAGCACAUCAGCUUCGAUGCUCUGGUGCCUGGUGUUGUCACCAAGGAGUUUUCGGGAGGUCGGGAACAUGGUUCAGCUUCUGCGCAUCCUUCCUCACAUAGAUAGUCUGCCUAUAAAAUCACCACCUGGACUGGACACAGCUAGACAAAUGUAUAUUUUUAACAAGAUCAGGGAGUUUUGCGACGAAGAAGCCAUGGACAUCACAUGCCCUGCACCAAAGUCAAGGGCAAGACCGAAACAGGCUCUCCAAAAUAUACAUUCUCUUGUUCAUGCAUGGUUUGGACGGACCAGUCAUCAGCACUAUCUGCAGUGCCUCUAUUCACAUGACUCUCUCCUAACACAUACGUUGCUGCUAAUAUUAAAUGUUUUUAUCCUGCUGCUCACCCACUUUACCCCUGAUUGUAUACAUAUAACUACCUCAUCAAUCACUGAUAGAUAGUGUUAAUAUAAAUGUCUAUUUCUGAUAUUGCUACUAUGCAAGUAACCAUUUGGCUGCACAGUUUACACCGUCUGUAGAGACCACCCACUUAGCAAAAUAUUGGUAUGUGUGGUCGUAACAUACCACAACAAUAUUGUGUGACCGUAUCAAGUGUCAUUUACAGAAAUAUUUGGCGCAUGCAUCUUUAUGUACUGUACAUGAGUAACUCACUCAGGUUGCAUGGCCUUAACUUAUGUAUGGAAUACUGUGAAAAGUGCAUGUGCAACAGUUUAUAAAGUAUGUAAAUGUACUGGUGUGAAAGAAUUUGGGCAGUGGUGUGAAGUAUUUUUAUUAAAGUACUUUUUUGUGGUACCUGUA